UUGGAAGAAUAUUUAUAUUUUCACUGGCAUGCUAACAAUCUUUAAACAUACAACUCAAAUUACACAGAAAAAACAUUAAAGUCCAUUUUCAUAAUACAUUAUUUAAAUAUGUAAUAUAUAAAUCAGGAAUUUUUACUCAGUCAGUACGUUAUAUAUUAGCCUGUUAAAUUAUAUGGACUUUGUACUUGGUCAAUGUAAUCUACAUGUAUACAGGUCCAUACAUUACUUAAAGACCUCGUCAAAAGUUCAUAAUUGAUCAAUAUAAUAUAACAAAACAAUUAUCACUGAUAUGUUUAGAUUAAAAAUUCUGUUUUCUGAUAGAUGAAAGAUGGGUUUGUUGAACAAAACAGAGCUGUUAUGACG
rnacentral:lncRNA from 1 species